UACGUAGGGCGCAAGCGUUGUCCGGAAUUAUUGGGCGUAAAGAGCUCGUAGGCGGUCUGUCGCGUCUGCCGUGAAAACCCGAGGCUUAACCUCGGGCUGGCGGUGGAUACGGGCAGACUAGAGGUAGGUAGGGGAGAAUGGAAUUCCCGGUGUAGCGGUGGAAUGCGCAGAUAUCGGGAGGAACACCGGUGGCGAAGGCGGUUCUCUGGGCCUUACCUGACGCUGAGGAGCGAAAGCGUGGGGAGCGAACAGG
rnacentral:rRNA from 1 species